AUACACAAUGGAAUACUACUCAGCCAUCAAAAGAACAAAAUAAUGCCAUUUGCAAGAACAUGGAUGGAACUAGAGACUCUCAGACUGAGGGAAGUAAAUCAGAAAGAGAAAGACAAAUACCGUAUGAUAUCACUUGGAAUCUAAUAUACGGCACAAAUGAACCUUUCCACAGAAAACAAAAUCAUGGACUUGGCAAAUAGACCUUGUGGUUGCCAAGGGGGAGGGGGAGGGAGUGGGGUGGAUUGGGAGCUUGGGGUUAAUAGAUGCAAACUAUUACCUUUGGAAUGGACUAGCAAUGAGAUCCUGCUGUGUAGCACUGGGAACUAUGUCUAGUCACUUAUGAUGGAGCAUGAUAAUGUGAGAAAAUAGAAUGUAUACAUGUAUGUGUAACUGGGUCACCAUGCUGUACAGUAGAAAAAAAUUGGGGAAAUAACAAUUAAAGAAAAAACAAAAAACAGCAGAGAAAUGGCUUUUCACCUUGUUUUUCUAGAGCCUUGCAUCUAUUACACACUCAAUGAAUAUUUAAAUGGAUGAAGAAAACUUUCUUUGAAGAUCUCUCAUGCCACACUCUUCUAAUUCAACUCCCCAUGCCACUCUGUUCUAAAUCUUUUCAAAAACUCUGUAAUUUCCUUAUUUUUCUUCUUAGGCUCUUUUUUCUCUUUCUCCUCUCCAUCAAGUCUUUAGGAUUUUCUGUGUUUGAAGACUUAUACUUUGUAGUUCAGUGAUCCCUUGAAUUUUCAGAACUUCAACCAUUUCUGUAUUGAUUUUAAAAUGUUUAUUUUCAGCAAGAUGCUAGUGUUUUCUUUUAAAAAUUCAUUCCAUUGACAUUCAGUUCCUUGUCCUUAAGAUCUUGAAUAUUAUUAAGAGAGGAAAAAUACAGAAAUAGUAGGCAUAAAAAUCAAAGUCAGUGUGUAUUUUCAAGGAAUCUUCAAUAGCUGUAUGUGAGAUAACUGUCAAAUAUCUUUGAGUCAGACUUACUAAGUCCUUCAUAAGUAUUAGUCAUUUAACCUUCAUGACACUCCUAUGAAGUAGGGAACUGUAUUACUUCCAUUUUACAGAUGGGUCAAAUGAGGCUUAGAGGAAUUGGGAAUUUUCUCUCAGCCACCAAUCACUUCUGAAGCCUGAAUGCUAACUCACAUAUGUCUGAUUAAUCAUUCAACCAGUAGACCAGAAGGACAAAUAGAAAAUGGCUUAAACAUUAAGCAUUUUAUGAAAAUUCUGUGCCUCUUCAGUUCAUCAUUCUAUAGCUGUCUUUCAGAUGAAGGCAGGAAUGUACUAGGUCUUAAGUUCGUGCAGUCAUUUAGUAACUUAGAUUUGUUUCUAGCCUUUAAAUAUCUUGUCUUGUCUUAUAAACAAGCAACUGUAUAUUAAAAGAAUUUUAUGUCUGAAUCAAGCUACAACACUUUGUGUUUCUUCUGUACACUGAAUCAUUUGUACCACUGUAAAGGGCAAGAUUAAGACUCAUAGUGGUUUGGAAAAUUUUGUGCUCUAUCAUUAGGGAGGUAAAAAUUGAAUUCACUAAGACUGCUAAGAGAUGUGCAUUUUGUAAAUCAAACAAUGCUAUAAUCAGGUUUCAGAUACAACAAAUAACUUCUUGCAGACAAUGUGUUUGAGAUUAAAUGUACUUCUCCUAACAUGUGACAACAGCAAUCACAUUCCAAAACUUUUGAUUUCUGAAGAAGUAGCUUUGAUCAAUUCUUUGUCCUCUCUUAAUCUGGUAAUGAAAAACAGUUGAACUCUGUAGUGAUGAAUUCUUGUGAUUGUAAAUGUCAUGGCAUAUAUGCACCCCAACGGAUUUGAGGAUGGUUGUAAAAUUCUGUGUUGUUGCAGGCAUUGUAGAGGAGGCUACUGGAGUAUUUGUGUAUUUUUUUGAAUAAAAAAUGCUGCAAACUGUGCCCAUCUUCAAGUUUAGUUCUGCCUUUCUUCAGAACAGAGUUGUACGUGGAUAUUAGGGGACAUUUGGAGAAGCUGUAUAGGACAUUUGGGAAAGCUGAGAUUCUGGAGUCAGGCUACCUGGAGUAGAGUCUUGACUCUUUGAUUUACUAGCUUGUGACCUUGGAUGAGAAAUUCACUAGCUCAGUUUCUUCACCUAUAAAAUAAAGAUGUAAGAAAUGCCUGUCUUAUACAAUAUUAGGAAUAUCAUAAUUAAAUAUUUAUAUGAAGAAAGUGAAGGGCUUCAUGUAAUAUUUGGCACUUAGUGGUGCCAAUACAUGUUAGUGCCUUGCAUUUGUACUUCCAGUACAUUGCCUCGGAUGACAUUUGAUAAUGGUGAAGAUGAUGACCAUGCUAUUCUCCAUAGAGAAAACACUAAUUUCACAUUAACCAUGCUAUGCACCAGGGCACAAAGAGAAUUGGACCCAGUUUAUGUGUCCCUGCCACCUGGAUUUGCUUAACGUCACCUGUCUUUUUAUGGCUUACACCUUUCCUAUAGUCAUCAAGGCCAUUACAGUCAUCACCUCAUUUCUGACCAACACAAUUAUCUCUGCUUCUCUUAAGAUGAGAUGAUAACUGGACUGAAGGGAACUGUUGUAGCUCAUCUCCAGUGGCUACCCGAAGAGGCUGUGAACACACUUUGGAGAUAUGGGAGUUUAUGCACUGUAGAUUGACUUUUGACCGAUCAAAGAGAGAAUAAGGGAAGAAUAAAUACACGAAUUACUUACCUUUCUCUUCUAGGUGGCAUGGUCUUGAGGUACAUGUGGCGAGUUGAGUGAUGAAUCAUCUGGUAUUUGCUUCACUUGUUUCCUAUAUCACUUCACUUUUCCAUUCUUGCUUCCUCGGGUUUAUAUUCUCCAAUAAAAUGUUAGUAGGUUAACUUUGCCUCAGGUACUGUUUUCAAGGGAUCUAGGGUCUAUAGGCAAGAAAUACCAUUUUUUUCAGAAUAAGAUGAUAAUUUAGCUUCAUAAACAUAAUUAUUUUAACAGCAACUUUAAAAUAAUAUAGUAAUGACUCUUCUAUUGCCAUGGAAACAGAAAAGAUAGAGGGAUAUAUUCUUCAAAAAGAAAGGACGGAAGGAAGGAAAUAUCAGGCAGGCUUCCCUGAGAAGGAGUUUGUUUGAAGCAUAAAUAGAGUUUUUGAAGGAUAAGUAAAGAUGGACAAGAAAGGCAGAAGGAACAAAUUAAGUGAAUGCAAAAGUAUAUAAACAAUUGCAAACUUACAUGCAAAGCAUAAGGGGAUGACUUCUAUGACCAGAGUGGAAGAUGCAUAGAGGAAUGCUAUAGAUGAGCUAGAGGUAUAUACUGAUUAAGAUUGUGAAGGCUCCUUGGUGUCAUGAUGAGAAGGAACUUUGGCAUAAUAUUCUAAGAAGAACUUUCAAAGGUUUUGAGUUAGGAGGUGAUAUAAUCAGAAGGUAAGGUAUUGGAGACAGGUAGCCUGCUUGGGUGUCUACCUGCGACAGUCCACAUGUGAUCAUUAGAACUUAAUCUAAGAAAGAGAGGGACUGUAAAGUGAAGGAUAAAUACCAGAUAUAUUGUGUACAGAAUCAAGAAGGCUUGGAAAAUUUUGCAUGUAGAAUGAGGAAGAGGAGUCAAUGUUGGUACUCAUUUGGGAACUAAACAGCAGACUGAAUAAUGAUAUCAUUUAUCAAGAUGGAGGGCAGAAAGGAAGACACAUUUUGGGGGAAGAAGCUAAUUUUAUAUUAAUCAUUUUCCAGUGAAUCUAGGUAAAAAUUCCUAGAAAGAGUUGGAAAUACAAAUCCAGACCUAAAAUAUGGUGUUACUCUACAGGUGUUGACUGCUGACAUUGACUAGUAACAGAUCCCAAGAUUUUUUAGAAAAAUCAAAUUUGAGGAGUUCAAAUUUGGGUCAGCAGAAACAAAUCUGACUAGUAUCCAUGAAGACGCAGGUUUGAUCCCUGGCCUUGCUCAGUGGGUUAAGGAUCCAGCAUUGCUGUGAGCUGUGGUAUAGGUCACAGAUGAGGCUCAGAUCUGGUGUUGCUGUGACUGUGGCAUAGGUCAGCAACUAUAUUCGACC
rnacentral:lncRNA from 1 species